rnacentral:miRNA from 1 species
ACAUACACGCACACACAGACACACAGAUAUAAAUAUAAAUAUAUAUGCGUGUGUGUGUGUGUGUGUGUGUGUGUG